rnacentral:rRNA from 1 species
UUGCCUCAGUAACGGCGAGUGAAGCGGCAACAGCUCAAAUUUGAAAUCUGGCCCUAGGCCCGAGUUGUAAUUUGCAGAGGAUGCUUUUGGUGCGGUGCCUUCCAAGUUCCCUAGAACGGGACGCCAGAGAGGGUGAGAGCCCCGUACAGUUGGACACCAAGCCUUUGUAAAGCUCCUUCGACGAGUCGAGUAGUUUGGGAAUGCUGCUCAAAAUGGGAGGUAUAUUUCUUCUAAAGCUAAAUACCGGCCAGAGACCGAUAGCGCACAAGUAGAGUGAUCGAAAGAUGAAAAGCACUUUGAAAAGAGGGUUAAACAGCACGUGAAAUUGUUAAAAGGGAAGCGCUUGUGACCAGACUUGCGUCCGGUGAAUCACCCAGCUCUCGCGGCUGGGGCACUUCGCCGGCUCAGGCCAGCAUCAGCUCGCUGUCGGGGACAAAAGCUUCGGGAACGUAGCUCUCUUCGGGGAGUGUUAUAGCCUGUUGCAUAAUACCCUUCGGCGGGCUGAGGUACGCGCUCCGCAAGGAUGCUGGCA